UUUGCAGAGGGGCUUACAAUCAGUAGUUACAGGGACAGUUCCCAGUUCCCAGUUCAAAGACACGUCUUGAUCAAAGAAUCAAUGGUACUAAGUAGGGUGUGAACCUGUGACUUUGUGGUCUUCUGGUUCAAAGAUGACAGUGUGUUACCCACUAGGCCCACUAGGCCACUACCAACCUACCUUAACUUCAAACUGCCACUUCAGGAACAAAAGUUUGUUAACUCAGUGAAGAAAUUCAAAUAUAACUCAAUGUUUUAUGUCUCUUUUAGUCCAGUGUGGGUGAGGCGGCUGUAUAGGAGCCUGGAUUUAGGGUUCUAUUGGGUUGACGGUCAGCGUCAUUAUCAUUGUCAUCAUCAUUUUUACAGCCUUUAUCAGCAUUUAUCCAGAGCAACUUACAAUCAGUAGAUCUUCAUCGCAUCAACAGUGGGUCAAAGUUUUAUGUUACCUCAUUUGCAGCGGUAACUCGUUCCACACACACACACUGCUCAUAGAUAAAACAUAUAGUGCAUGCGAGCAGUUGGAUGGAAGUCCUGUUGGGAGAUUUAGGCAGCGAUGGGUGGGCCAGGAAACCGGCACGUUGUGUUGAGACCGUAUGGAGAUAAAACCCCAUGACUGGUAGAGGUCUGGCUUCAUUCCAGUAGGAAAUUGAAUGAAACACUUUUCCAGCCCCUAAGCUCUGUAUCCUUGAUAUUUCCUCUCUGGGCUGGAGCCGGAGCAGCCUACGGAGCGACAAAUGGUCAAGAAAUCCAACUCUUCAUCAACAGUCGCAAGUUCAAGCACCCGCAGACAAACAUCCUGCUGCAACCACUGCUGUCCUGUAGGACAUACGUCUACGUUGUCCAUGAGGAUGGAACCUGUAAUAAAAAACAGGAUGAUAUACUUGUGUACCACUGGAUGAAUGACAAAGCGUUGCAGGGAUACAUCUCCACACACAAGUCUAUUCUGACCCUGCUGUGGUCACGGCUUCACUUUUCCAUGAUGCACCUAGAGAUGGAUGGACCACCUCAUACCUCUUCAUUUCAGCGUUGAAGGCCACUUCUGUUGAUCAGUUAGAAGCAUUUUGAAGCAUUCGAGCACUGUUGAAAGAGAAUCAGGUGACUUUACAGUGUGUGCUGCACUAGAGCUCUUUAAAGAAAUAGAG
rnacentral:lncRNA from 1 species